rnacentral:lncRNA from 1 species
GCAGCAGAACAAAGAGGAGCAGAAACACCGAGAAAAGGCUCAAACCCUGCUCCCUGCGGCUCAUGACAAACCCAAAUGACAAAAGGAGCAGAAACCACCAAGUGAGGAUUCUCUCCCCUUUUCUGAACAAUCCCCUCAGGAAACAAGUUUGGCAAAUUGGCUUUCAAAACACAAACAAGAUCACAGAUGCUUCCCUCCAGAGGAGCUAUUUACAGAAGCUGGAAGCAUUUUGGAAGGAAUAGGAAACAGAUUCCUCCAUGACAUCUUCGUGUGUGGAGGCAGGGAGGCUCCUGGGGCUGAGGAGUGAGGAUUUGCUGGGAUUUCAGUGCUGUUUAAACACAAACUUGUUAAAGUUGUUCCCAACACUGAGGCUGGGAUCUGAGCAGGACUUAGACCAGGCUUCUCCUCCUUGUCCCCUAAGGCCUGCUCCAUGGGAAGGGUCCUGGCCAGGCCACUGGGGCCUUCUGAGAUGUCUCUGGCCCAUGUUAUUCUGAAGCAUCCACAUCCAGAAAAGCUGCUGUCAAUGCUCAACACAAUGGAGGACCACUUUUGCUAGGGGGCUGUGUAUUAGAAUCUUCUGGAGUCACUGAGAACUUUGCAUGCCCAGGCUCAUGUCAGACCAAUUAAACUGGCAUUUUUUUUUAGGAGGGAGCCUUGGGCUGGAUUUAAAUUUUUUUUUUUCAAAUUUCCCAGAUGAUUCUAAUGAGCAGCCAAGAUCGAAAGCCACCAGACCCCA